GUUGCUUUGGCCGAGUGGUUAAGGCGUGUGCUGCUAAGUACAUGCGUUUCCCAACGAGAGUCCAAAUCUCUCAAGCAACG
rnacentral:tRNA from 1 species